UUCGGUUUGUCACCGGCAGUCCCAUUAGAGUGCCCUUUCGUAGCAACUAAUGGCAAGGGUUGCGCUCGUUGCGGGACUUAACCCAACAUCUCACGACACGAGCUGACGACAGCCAUGCAGCACCUGUGUAUCGGCUCUCUUUCGAGCACUCUCGCAUCUCUGCAAGAUUCCGACCAUGUCAAAGGUGGGUAAGGUUUUUCGCGUUGCAUCGAAUUAAACCACAUCAUCCACCGCUUGUGCGGGUCCCCGUCAAUUCCUUUGAGUUUUAACCUUGCGGCCGUACUCCCCAGGCGGUCAACUUCACGCGUUAGCUUCGUUACUGAGAAAAUAAAUUCCCAACAACCAGUUGACAUCGUUUAGGGCGUGGACUAC
rnacentral:misc_RNA from 1 species